UGCAGUCGAGCGGCAGCGGGAGGUGCUUGCACCUCGCCGGCGAGCGGCGGACGGGUGAGUAAUGCAUAGGAAUCUGCCCGGUAGUGGGGGAUAACCUGGGGAAACCCAGGCUAAUACCGCAUACGUCCUACGGGAGAAAGCAGGGGAUCUUCGGACCUUGCGCUAUCGGAUGAGCCUAUGCCGGAUUAGCUAGUUGGUAGGGUAACGGCCUACCAAGGCGACGAUCCGUAGCUGGUCUGAGAGGAUGAUCAGCCACACUGGGACUGAGACACGGCCCAGACUCCUACGGGAGGCAGCAGUGGGGAAUAUUGGACAAUGGGCGCAAGCCUGAUCCAGCCAUGCCGCGUGUGUGAAGAAGGCUUUCGGGUUGUAAAGCACUUUCAGUGGGGAAGAAGGCCUGUCGGUUAAUACCCGGCAGGGACGACAUCACCCACAGAAGAAGCACCGGCUAACUCCGUGCCAGCAGCCGCGGUAAUACGGAGGGUGCGAGCGUUAAUCGGAAUUACUGGGCGUAAAGCGCGCGUAGGCGGCGUGAUAAGCCGGUUGUGAAAGCCCCGGGCUCAACCUGGGAACGGCAUCCGGAACUGUCGCGCUAGAGUGCAGGAGAGGAAGGUAGAAUUCCCGGUGUAGCGGUGAAAUGCGUAGAGAUCGGGAGGAAUACCAGUGGCGAAGGCGGCCUUCUGGACUGACACUGACGCUGAGGUGCGAAAGCGUGGGUAGCAAACAGGAUUAGAUACCCUGGUAGUCCACGCCGUAAACGAUGUCGACUAGCCGUUGGGCGCCUCGAGUGCUUAGUGGCGAAGUUAACGCGAUAAGUCGACCGCCUGGGGAGUACGGCCGCAAGGUUAAAACUCAUAUGAAUUGACGGGGGCCCGCACAAGCGGUGGAGCAUGUGGUUUAAUUCGAUGCAACGCGAGACCUUACCUACUC
rnacentral:rRNA from 1 species